CUACGGGCCGCUCCAGUGAGGAAUUUUGCGCAAUGGGGGAAACCCUGACGCAGCAACGCCGCGUGAGUGAAGAGGGCCUUUGGGUCGUAAAGCUCUGUCAAUGGGGAAGAAGUUAUUAUGCUUUAAUAGAGUAUAGUAUUGACGGUACCCAUGAAGGAAACAUCGGCUAACUCCGUGCCAGCAGCCGCGGGUAAUACGGGGGAUGCAAGCGUUAUUCGGAAUUAUUGGGCGUAAAGGGCACGCAGGCGGUCCAUUCAGUCAGAUGUGAAAGCCCAGGGCUCAACCCUGGAAGAGCAUUUGAAACAAAUGGACCUGAGUACGGUAGAGGAGAGGGGAAUUCCUGGUGUAGAGGUGAAAUUCGUAGAUAUCAGGAGGAACACCGGUGGCGAAGGCGCCUCUCCGGGCCUGUACUGACGCUGAGGUGCGAAGGCGUGGGUAGCGAACAGGAUUAGAUACCCCUGUAGUC
rnacentral:rRNA from 1 species